rnacentral:misc_RNA from 1 species
GUUUUGGAAAGCUUUUCAAGAGUUCCAAUAAUGUUUAAAUUAUCAACAUAAGCUAUAACAAUAGCAAAUUCAAGGACAUAUCGAAUUAUUUUUAUAAGCACAUGCUUCCAGAUUAUUUUAAUCCAUAUAAAGCUCUUUGCAAUUUGAUGGAAUAAAGUUCUCGAGAAAUUGAUUUUUGUGCUUUAGGCAGCUUAAAUCCUUCAGGGAUUUUCAUUUAGAUAUUUUUCUUA